rnacentral:rRNA from 1 species
UACGGGGGGGGCAAGCGUUGUUCGGAAUUACUGGGCGUAAAGGGCUCGUAGGUGGCCAACUAAGUCAGACGUGAAAUCCCUCGGCUUAACCGGGGAACUGCAUCUGAUACUGGAUGGCUUGAGUUUGGGAGAGGGACGCGGAAUUCCAGGUGUAGCGGUGAAAUGCGUAGAUAUCUGGAGGAACACCGGUGGCGAAGGCGGCAUCCUGGACCAACACUGACACUGAGGAGCGAAAGCCAGGGGAGCAAACGGG